CCGGCGUUGAGCUCCGGCAGCCACCCCUCCCUCUAGCGGCUCCCACGAUUCCUGCCACUCCACCAGCCCUCCAGAUGGCGCCUACUGGUGAAGGUGGACAGAUGGUUCUACUCUUGGAACGAAGACGAAGGGCAAGACCAAGACGAAGAGUGUGCGCCAUCUUCUAGCGCCACCGGCAAUAGCACCAGAUGCUGCAUCACUAGAAGUAGAAAACGGUUAAGAUGUUUUCCGACCGUGUUCGACCACUUUCAUCCCUAAUGGAGACACAAGCGCACGGGGGAGCGGCGUUGGCGGCGAAGGCGAAGGCGAACGGAGGAGCGGCGGUGGCGGCGCAAAAGACUCCGGUCUGGAUAGGAGUCCGUGGGGUAGUCUUUCUGUUUUAAUUUCUUCCAUUUCCCCGCACAACCACUCCUGGUUAGCUGGCGGUGCAACUUUCCCCGUGCAAGCAAUUCUUGUU